rnacentral:rRNA from 1 species
GGCGGACGGGUGAGUAAUGCUUAGGAAUCUCCCUAUUAGUGGGGGACAACAUUUCGAAAGAGAAUGCUAAUACCCCCUACGUCCUACGGGAGAAAGCAGGGGGUCUUCGGACCUUCUGUCAUAGAUGAGCCCCAGUCGGAUUAGCUAGUUGGUGGGGUAAAGGCCCUAGGAAGGCGACGAUUUCCUGUAGCGGGUCUGAGAGGAUGAUCCACCCCCCCUGGGACUGAGACACGGCCCCAGACUCCUACGGGAGGCAGCAGUGGGGAAUAUUCGACAAUGGGCGCAAGCCUGAUCCAGCCAUGCCGCGUGUGUGAAGAAGGCCUUAUGGUUGUAAAGCACUUUAAGCGAGGAGGAGGCUACUUUAGUUCCUACCUAGAGAUAGUGGACGUUACUCGCAGCCUAAGCACCGGCUAACUCUGUGCCAGCAGCCGCGGUAAUACAGAGGGUGCAAGCGUUAAUCGGAUUUACUGGGCGUAAAGCGCGCGAGGCGGUUAAUUAAGUCAAAUGUGAAAUCCCCCGAGCUUAACUUGGGAAUUGCAUUCGGAUACUGGUUAGCUAGAGUGUGGGAGAGGAUGGUAGAAUUCCAGGUGUAGCGGUGAAAUGCGUAGAGAUCUGGAGGAAUACCGUGGCGAAGGCGCCCAUCUGGCCUAACACUGACGCCUGAGGUGCGAAAGCAUGGGGAGCAAACAGGAUUAGAUACCCUGGUAGUCCAUGCCGUAAACGAUGUCUACUAGCCGUUGGGGCCUUUGAGGCUUUAGUGGCGCAGCUAACGCGAUAAGUAGACCCGCCUGGGGAGUACGGUCGCAAGACUAAAAACUCAAAUGAAUUGACGGGGCCCGCACAAGCGGUGGAGCAUGUGGUUUAAUUCGAUGCAACGCGAAGAACCUUACCUGGCCUUGACAUCCUAAGAACUUUCCAGAGAUGAUUGGUGCUUCGGGAACUUACAUACAGGUGCUGCAUGGCUGUCUCGCCUCAGCUCGUGUCGUGAGAUGUUGGGUUAAGUCCCCGCAACGAAGCGCAACCCUUUUCCUUUUGCCAGCGAGUAAUGUCGGGAACUUUAAGGAUACUGCCAGUGACAAACUGGAGGAAGGGGGGGACGACGUUCAAGUCAUCAUGGCCCUUACGGCCAGGGGCUACACACGUGCUACGGUGGUCGGUACAAAGGGUUGCUACCUAGCGAUAGGAUGCUAAUCUCAAAAGCCGAUCGUAGUCCGGAUUGGAGUCUGCAACUCGACUCCAUGAAGUCGGGAAUCGUAGUAAUCGCGGAUCAGAAUGCCGCGGUGAAUACGUUCCCGGGCCUUGUACACACCCGCCCGUCACACCAUGGGAGUUGUUGCACCAAAAGUAGCUAGCCUAACUGCAAAAGAGGGCGGUUACCACGGUGUGGCCGAUGAC